rnacentral:rRNA from 1 species
CCCUUAGAUGUCCGGGGCCGCACGCGCGCUACACUGAAGGAAUCAGCGUGGCUUUCUCCCUGACCCGAAAGGGUUGGGAAACCCGUUGAAUCUCCUUCGUGAUAGGGAUUGGGGCUUGAAAUUGUUCCCCAUGAACGAGGAAUUCCCAGUAAGCGCGAGUCAUAAGCUCGCGUUGAUUACGUCCCUGCCCUUUGUACACACCGCCCGUCGCUACUACCGAUUGAACGGUUUAGUGAGGGCCUCGGAUUGGUCUCGGCCCGCUCUUUACCGGGCGGCGCCGUUGGUCGAGAAGACGCACGAACUUGAUCGUUUAGAGGAAGUAAAAGUCGUAACA